GGACCCUGCCACGCGCAGGCACAGGCCAGGCGGCGCCGGGGAAGCCUGGGGGCCCCAGACCGGCCCAGCACCGCCUGACAUUUCUCAAGCAUGCUGGGGGACGGCCCCUCAAUUUAGGAUGAGGACGAGGGAAAGGUGUACUGGCCAGACUCAGCGCCCUGAGGACGGGGUCGGAACCCAGCGCCCAGGAAGCUCCCCUCCCCCCGACCAAGGACCUCCCUCCAGGGUGUGCCCGGAGGAGGUCAAGACUCCACUGCCCUGAAGCAAACAAGGCGUCCAGCCCGAGCCAGGGUCACACGCCCAACAGGUAGGAUCCAGCAACCCCUGCGCAGCAGCCCCCGCCAUGCGAGGGAGGACCCGGAGUUGAGCGUGGCCCUGCCUGACAUCUGACCCCGCCGUCAGGAGCUCCACCAGACGUUAAGCUAAAUCCCCACUCACUCCAGACUUCCGGUCCUUUGAAAUGGAGGUGCCCUUGUGUGUCUUCAAUCCAUGUGGAGGGUAGUCUGGCCCAUCCCACACCUGCUACUGUCACUGCCUCACAUCAGCGGCCUCAGGCCACAAGGUCUCCCCACCUGGCUCCUUGGGGAGUGCCAAGCGUUGCCAGCAGCCGGGCUAUGCUGAUCCCAGACAAGUGGCUCGACCGGUCACCACUGUCCUUGAGCUUAAGUCCAGCCUUGGUGACAAAAAUGUCACAAGGACCUGCAUCCGAGCCCUGAGGGCAUCAGGUCCUGGAGGAGGAGGAAGAGUCCCUUCUGGCUUCGGGCUGGGCUUGAGGACGGCAGCUCCAAGACCGCUUAGAGCGAGACUUCAGCGCUGACUGCUGGAGCUACGCACCCUGUCCUGACAAUGGCCGCACAGUUAGGCGCUGCUCCACGCCUGGAGGAGGGAACUGAGGGCCCGAAAUCACAGAAGCAGGAACUCCAGGUUCGCCAGUGCGGCCUGAUCCACCUUCCCUCAAACGUAGCUGCUGACAACGACACCCACGCGCCCUCUCUGGGCCCAGCAGGUCAGAGGUCCAGGUGGGCUGGCUGCUCCACGGCCACGGCUCCAAGGCCAAGGUCAAGGCACUGCUGUCCUGGGCCCUGGUCUGGGUUCUCCGGGAGAGUCCGCGCCUGAGCUCGGCCGGGGGCGGGAUUCUGCUCCCUGUGGCCACUGGGCUGAGGCCCCACUUCCCUGCUUUCGGGGAGCCACGUCCCCCAUCACGCCAUCCCUCCCUCCUAAAAGCCAGCAGGGCAAGGUCCCUCUUAGGCUUCUGACCUGACCUCCCCUCCUCCAGCUGGAGAAGGGUCCCACGCAUGAGGACAUUUGUGACGAUGCCGGGACCCGAGGAAUCCAGGACGACCCCUCUGCAGAGCCCCUGUGCCCCGGGAGGCACCACACCCACGGCUCCAGGGGGUGGGGGGGACGGUGGCUUCUCUGGGGCUGACCCAGACCUGCAGUACACAGCGCCAGGCCAUGAGGUCUCAGCCUGCGGUCAGGCCGCGUGCACGGAAACCCAGGCUCCUGAACGGCCAGCCAGGAGCAAAGCCGGCCACUGAGUACGGGAGCAGGCUCCGGGGACACGCUCCCACUCCUUUUAGGGGCCCAGAGGCUGUGGAUGAGGAGCUCGAGUAUCCCCCUCUCAGUGUAACCUCCCCACCCCUCCCACAUCCUCCAAGUGGGGCAGGAGCCGCCUCACCAGAGCUGGGGGAGGGGGCCACACAGGUGCACCCCUGGGGAGGGGCAGCGGAGACUUGUGGGCAGGAAUGUGGCCAGGGUUUCUAGAUCAUCUGGUUUUUCAAGAGAAGCCACAAGUCUGCGUUUGAGGGUGGCAGCCCCUGGUGUUCCAAAGUCGGCAAGCAAUUCAAGCAUCCACACCCCCACCCCGGGGCAGCGUUGGGUGCCCAGACCUCAGGGCCACCCCGAGAGCUCCUGCAUCCACCUGGGGGCUCGCAGCUCCCCCAAGCUCCUGGCGGGUAGCAGUCAUUCCAGGAUCUGAUAAAAGCCCCCGAAAAUGCCCCGGUCAGCCCAGCCACACCCGGGCAACACCGACAGCCAUUCUCCACCAGGGCCCCAGCGCCCAGCUGAGUGAGACCCACCCGGUAGCUUCCGGGGCUGGGCCCCUGCCCCACCAGUGAAAACAUUCUGGUCACAGUGAUGCCGCCCUGAGAAGCUCCUCACCGUCCCCCGUGGCCUUGGAACCCCCCUCACACCCAUGGGUUCCAGGCACCCUGGCGGCUGUCUGUCCCCACGAAGCCUGGCCCUCUCACAGCGUAGGGAGGCUGCGGUCACCAGCGUGGGUCCCGCGACCCAUUCCACCCGGCCCCUGGGCACCGGAAGCCAGGCGGCGAGCGCAGCAGACCCCAGAGGCAGCUUUCCUCAGUUUACCUGACAUGCAAAGGAAGACGCCUCCUCACUCCAGGCUGGACGGGCAG